rnacentral:rRNA from 1 species
GUCCUGAAUCGAAAGGGAUUUUGGAUUCAGGCGCAACUUUCGGCUAAGACAUUGGGCCGCCCACGCGCAGACGGCGCCGGUCGCCCGCUCGCGAGUUCUUCGCUUGCGGUGUCGUCCCCGGCGAUCGCUCGGCGUGCCGGCGUAGUUACCCAGGCCGUGGCGUCGCACUUCCUCCCUAGUAGAUACGUCGCGACCCGUUGGGCUACCGGUCUGAAGGCCCGGGAUGGCAGCCCGCAGCUCUCCCGAGCUUGACCGCUCGGGGGCUCGGACUCCCGGCAUGCCCGGCCGUGUGCCCGACGGAAUGACCAGAGGAGCCGAUCCGCCCAGGUGUGCGUCCGGUCCCGGCGUCGGCGAGCGUUUUGGUGGCGGAACCCUGUGUGGGUGGGGGUGUCCGUGCCCGGCACGGCCCUGGGCCCCCGCUCGUCCGGCAGCCGGUGUCCUCGGACUGGAUCUAGCUCCCGUCCGCGGCGCCUUCCUUCGGAUGGUCUCCCG